rnacentral:rRNA from 1 species
GAGUUUGAUCAGGGCUCAGAUUGAACGCUGGCGGCAUGCCUAACACAUGCAAGUCGAACGGAAACGAUGCUAGCUUGCUAGCAGGCGUCGAGUGGCGGACGGGUGAGUAAUGCAUAGGAAUCUACCUAAUAGUGGGGGACAACCUGGUGAAAACCAGGCUAAUAAUACCGCAUAAUCCCUACGGGGCAAAGCAGGGACCUUCGGGCCUUGCGCUAAUAGAUGAGCCUAUGUCGGAUUAGCUAGUUGGUGAGGUAAUGGCUCACCAAGGCGACGAUCCGUAGCUGGUUUGAGAGGAUGAUCAGCCACACUGGGACUGAGACACGGUCCAGACUCCUACGGGAGGCAGCAGUGGGGAAUAUUGCACAAUGGGCGAAAGCCUGAUGCAGCAAUGCCGCGUGUGUGAAGAAGGCCUGCGGGUUGUAAAGCACUUUCAGUAGGGAGGAAAAAGCAAUGCUAAUACCAUUGUCUAAUGACGUUAACCUACAGAAGAAGCACCGGCUAACUCUGUGCCAGCAGCCGCGGUAAUACAGAGGGUGCGAGCGUUAAUCGGAAUUACUGGGCGUAAAGAGUACGUAGGCGGUUAUUUAAGUCGGAUGUGAAAUCCCCGGGCUCAACCUGGGAAUUGCACUCGCAACUGGAUAGCUAGAGUACAGCAGAGGAAAGUGGAAUUUCUAGUGUAGCGGUGAAAUGCGUAGAUAUUAGGAAGAACACCAGUGGCGAAGGCGGCUUCUUGGAUUGAUACUGACACUGAGGUACGAAAGCGUGGGGAGCAAACAGGAUUAGAUACCCUGGUAGUCCACGCCCUAAACGAUGAGAACUAGAUGUUGGAGGAAAUUGAUCCUUUAGUAUCGUAGCUAACGCGAUAAGUUCUCCGCCUGGGGAGUACGGCCGCAAGGUUAAAACUCAAAUGAAUUGACGGGGGCCCGCACAAGCGGUGGAGCAUGUGGUUUAAUUCGAAGCAACGCGAAGAACCUUACCUACUCUUGACAUCCUCAGAACUUAGCAGAGAUGCUUUGGUGCCUUCGGGAACUGAGUGACAGGUGCUGCAUGGCUGUCGUCAGCUCGUGUUGUGAAAUGUUGGGUUAAGUCCCGUAACGAGCGCAACCCUUGUCCUUAUUUGCCAGCACGUAAUGGUGGAACUCUAAGGAGACUGCCGGUGACAAACCGGAGGAAGGUGGGGACGACGUCAAGUCAUCAUGGCCCUUACGAGCGGGGCUACACACGUGCUACAAUGGCCAGGACAAACGGUUGCAACCCCGCGAGGGUGAGCUAAUCUGAGAAACCUGGUCGUAGUCCGGAUCGCAGUCUGCAACUCGACUGCGUGAAGUCGGAAUCGCUAGUAAUCGUGAAUCAGAAUGUCACGGUGAAUACGUUCCCGGGCCUUGUACACACCGCCCGUCACACCAUGGGAGUGGAUUGCACCAGAAGUAGCUAGCUUAACCUUCGGGAGGGCGGUUACCACGGUGUGGUUCAUGACUGGGGUGAAGUCGAAACAAGGUAACCCU